GCGAAACGCCCCCCCCCCCCACCCCCGGGUCGGGGCAGCCUGGGCGGAGCGGAGGUUGAGCAAGUGGGCAGCGGCUGUGAGACCGGGCUCGCCUCAGAGGACUCGCUCGUCUCGGGCGCCCCUCGGUGCGUGUGACGGAGGUAAGCGCCCGCAGCCCCCCGCCCGCAGGCCGGGACGCCUUCCUCGUCAGGGAUCCCCAGACCGAACGCGGACGCCCUUAGCGCGGGUGCCGGCGAGUCAGCCGGUCACGGCCCGGUCACGCGAGCGUGAAAACGCAUACGCGCACGCGCGGCCUCCGUGUGAAGGGACGAGAGCAGCGCGGUACGUCCCGCACGAGGAAGCCUGACCCGCAACAAGUGUGCGCGAGGGCUGGACGGGGCGCCGCGGUUCUGAGACCCCCCUCCAGAAAAACGGAAUAUUCUCGUUUUCUUCGGAGUCCAGAGCAGAGUCCACACACACCAUUUCAUCCACAACCAUCUCAGUAUUAGCCUAUAAAGACCAGGCCUACCUUGUAAAACAAAACUCAACUCUACCAUCCAAUGAAAAAAUCUGGGGAGCACGCGUUACGCCCCGCGUCCCGUAAUAUUCUUCCUUUGUAAAUAGCUGUUCAAAUGAGUAUCAGAUGAAGGGCGAGGGGGGAUCGCCAGGGGUAGACAAAACCACCCUGGGAACAACCCCCGUCUGCCUCAGAGAGGAACCUCCUUCCCACCGCGAUCUUGGAACUCCUGGUGCCUCGCCCGGCGGGACCCCUGGGCAGCCCCUCCUUUCUUACUUCCCAUCCCUUUCUCCUCUCCGGUUGGUUUCGGCUCUUUGGCCCCCCUAACACUCCUUGCCUCUGGAGCUGCCCCUCCAGCCACCCCAUCGAGGUCGGGAGCAGUGGCCACGCCCUCCGACCCCACUCGCUUCUCAGCACCUUCAUCCGGGCCCACCUGGCCACUGAACCCAAGCCUCGGUCAGCGCCAGUGACUUGCUGAACACCGAAGCCGAUGGCUGCUCACCGGUUUUCAUCUUCGCAAAGCUCUCUCCGAGACCUUGUUUGUCUUUGGGUUCCAAGACCCUGCGCGGCCUAACCUUGGGUCUCCACCUCGAAUGGCUCCUCGGUCUCCUGCACUGGCUGCUCUCCCUCUCCCACCCCUGGAGAGAAGACCUUUCCUUUCCUCUCCCUGUGCUCCUCUUUGGCAGUCUCCUGUCUGCACGAUUACCCUGAGAUACUGUCACGCUUUACAGACAGGUUAAAUAACUUGCCCCAGACUCGCCUCAUACGUAGCAGAGCCAAGGUUCAAACCAGGUCCGACUCGCUCUGAGGGCGGUGGCUUCACGACCACGCUGUGCCGGCAACCACAGCUGCGUGCUGGGUGACUGCGUAUAACGUACGAGGUGGAGAAACCCCCUGCACCUGUCACCCAGCUCCAGCCGAUGGUCUAGUCGUGCUUUUCCGCUUUCCCAGGAGACUCUCACCUGCUUGUCCCUCGCUCUGGAUUCCUCUGAAGCAAGUCCCAGACACACCGUUUUGUUGAAACAACAGUGAAGAGUUUUGCCCAUAUUUCUUCACACCCUUGCUGUCUCCUGCUGACUCUGGUGCUUCCCCCACGUGGCCCUUCAUGGUAUGCUGUGCCCCCUGCUUCCAGAGAACUGUCAAAGGAAGCGCACGUGUGGGCUGGGGACAGCUUGGGAGAUGUGAUGUGAGCCCCCUCGUUCUCCCUCCUGACUCCUCCCUCUGCCAACAGAGGCCAAAUCAUACCUCCUACAGCUCCACGUUGGAUCUCGAGUGCCUGUCCCUGCUACCCUGGCAUCAUUACCUCUUUCAGGGACCUUACCAGUGGCUUUCCAACUAGCCUUUCCACAUCUGUUACUCACUCCCUCCAGUUUCCAGGGUCAUUCCACUGAAACGUGGAUCUGGGCCGGACACUCACUCACUCAGCAAACUCAUACUAAGAGGCUCCUAAGAGUCAGCUUCUGUAUUGAGCGUCAGGAGACAGAACGAUGACUGAGAUAUUGUGCCUCUUUACAGUCUAGUGGAGGAGCUAGAGCUACAAACAAAAUUCUAAAAUAAUGUGAAAAUGCAACAAUAUGAUGGUGAUAAACCAAGAGUCAUUGGAAGUUGUUGGCGUGGGAGGAGGCAGCCAACCUACCUGGGCAGUGUCCUGAAGAAGGUGAGUCUCAAAGGAUGAUUAGAAGUUAAGCGGGAGAGAGGGGAGGAAUGGAGAUCUCUGACGAGACAGGGAGGAAGCAACACGGCAUACGUAGGAGUAGCAACUUAGUGUGGCUAGCCCCUGAAGUGCCAGGGAGGGAGCGGUGACGGCUGAAUCCAAAAGUGGGCAAAGUCACCCCUGAACACAAAGUAAAAUCUCAAAUCCUCUGACAUCAGCAAAUACUUCCAGGUUUCUCCCACUGACGUCUCCGUGCUCCCCACCCCCAGUCUGCCCAUGUACGCACUCUGCUUCCUGAGGACUGCUUAUUUAUCCCCACCUCUGGGCACUGCACCAACUCUCUCCUGCCUAGACUGUCCUCCCUGUCUGCCCCUUCCUCCAGCCUUUCUUUCUAAAGUAAUUCAAAGUCUUCAUUCCCAAGAUUCUCCCUGCCUCGCCCCAGAACCACUCCCUCCUCACCCUCCUCCCCAGGGUGCCCUGCUUGUGUUUGCACUCCUGUGUUCUCUUUGCGUCCCCUCUAGGGUGGGGGCUCCUGGACAGAAGAGAACAAAUUCGCUUUACCCCCAAAACACGUCCCUUCAUAUAGUGAGUGCCACUAUACGUAUUGAAUUAAUUGGGGUCUUGAAUACUAAUGCCUCUUCUCCCAGUUUCGUGGCAUAGCUGUUGGGAAGGAAAGAAGGCUCAUUAGCUUGCCAUCCUGAGGGGGACCCAACAGUAGCUCUCUGAGGCUCUGCGAAACAACUUCCCCAACCGCCAGAACUGCCGUUGCUAUGGUUUCUCCCUCCCACCAGGAGUACUUAGGUGAAUGCUGAUUGAAGAACAGGGUUCCACUGGCCAAGGCCUUUUCAGGCCAUUUUAAGAGGGAAAAAAGUUGGUGAAAUGACAGAACGCCUUGAAAUUAUUCCGAUAUCAGAGCGCCGUGAGAAAAACUCACCACAGUGAGAAAUUAAUUGUGAGACCGCAGCCAAAAAUCUUUUUAGAGAUAAUGCUACAGAUCUCAUCCAUCAUUAGCCAACCUCAGAAACGUGAAGAUACUUGUUAACCUAAAUUUAUUUCUGGAUAUGACUUAUUAGACACUAAGACGAUUUAUUUUUACUUUUUUGCUAACAUAACUU